rnacentral:rRNA from 1 species
UGCAAGUCGAGCGGAUGAAGGGAGCUUGCUCCCGGAUUCAGCGGCGGACGGGUGAGUAACACGUGGGCAACCUGCCUGUAAGACUGGGAUAACGCCGGGAAACCGGGGCUAAUACCAGAUAGUUUUUUCCUCCGCAUGGAGGAAAAAGGAAAGGCGGCUUCGGCUGCCACUUACAGAUGGGCCCGCGGCGCAUUAGCUAGUUGGCGGGGUGACGGCCCACCAAGGCAACGAUGCGUAGCCGACCUGAGAGGGUGAUCGGCCACAUUGGGACUGAGACACGGCCCAAACUCCUACGGGAGGCAGCAGUAGGGAAUCUUCCGCAAUGGACGAAAGUCUGACGGAGCAUCGCCGCGUGAGUGAAGAAUGCCUUCGGGUCGUAAAACUCUGUUGCCGGGGAAGAACAAGUGCCGUUCGA